AGAGCGAACGCUGGCGGCAGGCUUAACACAUGCAAGUCGAGCGGGCGUAGCAAUACGUCAGCGGCAGACGGGUGAGUAACGCGUGGGAACGUACCUUUUGGUUCGGAACAACCCAGGGAAACUUGGGCUAAUACCGGAUAAGCCCUUACGGGGAAAGAUUUAUCGCCGAAAGAUCGGCCCGCGUCUGAUUAGCUAGUUGGUGAGGUAAUGGCUCACCAAGGCGACGAUCAGUAGCUGGUCUGAGAGGAUGAUCAGCCACAUUGGGACUGAGACACGGCCCAAACUCCUACGGGAGGCAGCAGUGGGGAAUAUUGGACAAUGGGCGCAAGCCUGAUCCAGCCAUGCCGCGUGAGUGAUGAAGGCCCUAGGGUUGUAAAGCUCUUUGUGCGGGAAGAUAAUGACGGUACCGCAAGAAUAAGCCCCGGCUAACUUCGUGCCAGCAGCCGC
rnacentral:rRNA from 1 species